rnacentral:rRNA from 1 species
GAGGAACAUGUGGUUUAAUUCGAUGAUACGCGAGGAACCUUACCUGGGCUUAAAUGCAGAGUGCAUGCGGUGGAAACACCCUUCCCUUCGGGGCCCUCUGCAAGGUGCUGCAUGGUUGUCGUCAGCUCGUGCCGUGAGGUGUCGGGUUAAGUCCCAUAACGAGCGCAACCCUUACCGUUAGUUGCCAGCAGGUCAAGCUGGGGACUCUAGCGGGACUGCCACCGUAAGGUGAGAGGAAGGUGGGGAUGACGUCAAAUCAGCACGGCCCUUAUGUCCAGGGCUACACACGUGUUACAAUGGCCGGUACAGAGGGCAGCUACUCCGCGAGGAGAUGCUAAUCUUUAAAGCCGGUCUCAGUUCGGAUUGGAGUCUGCAACCCGACUCCAUGAAGUUGGAUUCGCUAGUAAUCGCGCAUCAGCCAUGGCGCGGUGAAUACGUUCCCGGGCCUUGUACACACCGCCCGUCAAACCAUGGGAGCUGGGGGUGCCUGAAGUCUGUGAUCCCGAUUUAUCGGGAAGCGGCCUAGGGUAAAACCAGUGACUGGGGUUAAGUCGUAACAAGGUAACCAAGGGCGAA